CUACGGGAGGCAGCAGUGGGGAAUCUUAGACAAUGGGCGCAAGCCUGAUCUAGCCAUGCCGCGUGUGUGAUGAAGGUCUUAGGAUCGUAAAGCACUUUCGCCAGGGAUGAUAAUGACAGUACCUGGUAAAGAAACCCCGGCUAACUCCGUGCCAGCAGCCGCGGUAAUACGGAGGGGGUUAGCGUUGUUCGGAAUUACUGGGCGUAAAGCGUACGUAGGCGGAUUGGAAAGUUGGGGGUGAAAUCCCAGGGCUCAACCCUGGAACUGCCUCCAAAACUAUCAGUCUAGAGUUCGAGAGAGGUGAGUGGAAUUCCAAGUGUAGAGGUGAAAUUCGUAGAUAUUUGGAGGAACACCAGUGGCGAAGGCGGCUCACUGGCUCGAUACUGACGCUGAGGUACGAAAGUGUGGGGAGCAAACAGGAUUAGAUACCCUGGUAGUCCACACCGUAAACGAUGAAUGCCAGUCGUCGGGCAGUAUACUGCUCGUGACACACCUAACGGAUUAAGCAUUCCGCCUGGGGAGUACGGUCGCAAGAUUAAAACUCAAAA
rnacentral:rRNA from 1 species